rnacentral:lncRNA from 1 species
UAUUAAGUAACUUUACUUUUUUUAAGCUUAGCUAAAAAUAUUGUUAUAAAUUUUUAUUUUUAAAUACUUCUACACUUUUCCAAUAUGGCGUUUCACCAUUAAACACAGAACUUUCAUCCUACACCUAACCACCCUAAUCCUGUAUGGUGUACCAUACGCACCCUUAAUGCUGCUUUCCUAGAGCAAGGUUCAAGAGAGAAUUAAUAUGCAUGUACCUUAAUGUUACAAUCCAAAUAUAAGGCUAAAUAGAUUUGCACAGUAAGGUAAGUAGUUGAUAAACUGCUAAAAGCUAAAGCGAAUGCUAUAUCAAUUCCCACAUUCUUGAUAUCAGCUCUAUUUUCCCUCCACUUUUGUCAUAUUGCUAUCUAGUUGGCUUGUCUAUGUUUCAAAGUAAUUUUGUUACAUAUAUGGCUUGCUUAUUUUUCAUUUUUCAAAUUUGAUGUUAGGAUUUUGGGUUGUAUCCUGUGCUGAAAUAUCCAAAAUAUGCACUUCCUCUUUGGUAUUUUUUCAGUUUCUAAAGAAAAAAGUAAAGAAAUUAAUCCUCUCCUUCUACGAGUUUUAGAGCUUGUUUGGCAUGGCUUUUGAAAAUCAAAAAGUCGUUUCUGAGACUAAGUAGUAGUUUUGAGUCUUGUUAAGUGAAAAUGCUUUGUCUUACUAGAAAAGCUUUAACAAAUGCUUUUCUAGAAAAAGCAAAACAGCAAAAACUUCUCCGAACAGGCCGUUACUAUUCAUUUCCACAUUGAGUACCUGACUAUAUUCUGCUUUCAGGUUUGAGAGAGAACGUACAUGUCCUUUGUGCCGAGCUUUGGUGAAACCUGUGGAUCUCAGAUCAUUUGGUGACGGAUCUACAAGUCUAUUUUUUCAGUUAUUCUAAACUGCCAGUGAGUAUAACUGGGAAGUUUUCUGCUUUGAAGCCUAAAUUGUCAUCCAGAGCAGCUGUCUCCUGAUCAUCUUGUUAUAUGGAAAAUUUAACUGUAACUAUUAAAAGUUGCUGGUGAUGUUGAAACUUAGUCUGGGGUCGGCUUUGUCUGUUGUUGGGUUGUAAUGAGAAAUGUAUGUAAUGGGUUCCUAAAGCGACAGGAGUUAUAUUUUUAUGAUAUAUACACAAAUACAACAGUUAGAGCCAUAUAUGAGAGCUUUUCAAGUCAGAACUCUGAUUGCCAUAUCUGCAUGUGUGAGAUGGUC